GAUGAACGCUGGCGGCGUGCCUAAUACAUGCAAGUCGAGCGAAUGGAUUAAGAGCUUGCUCUUAUGAAGUUAGCGGCGGACGGGUGAGUAACACGUGGGUAACCUGCCCAUAAGACUGGGAUAACUCCGGGAAACCGGGGCUAAUACCGGAUAACAUUUUGAACCGCAUGGUUCGAAAUUGAAAGGCGGCUUCGGCUGUCACUUGUGGAUGGACCUGCGUCGCAUUAGCUAGUUGGUGAGGUAACGGGUCACCAAGGCUACGAUGCGUAGCCGACCGGGGAGGGUGAUCGGCCACACUGGGACUAGGACACCGACCAGACUCCUACGGGAGGCAGCAGUAGGGAAUCUUCCGCAAUGGACGAAAGUCUGACGGAGCAACGCCGCGUGAGUGAUGAAGGCUUUCGGGUCGUAAAACUCUGUUGUUAGGGAAGAACAAGUGCUAGUUGAAUAAGCUGGCACCUUGACGGUACCUAACCAGAAAGCCACGGCUAACUACGUGCCAGCCGCCGCAGUAA
rnacentral:rRNA from 1 species